rnacentral:rRNA from 1 species
UACAGGGGGGGCAAGCGUUGUUCGGAAUUACUGGGCGUAAAGGGCUCGUAGGCGGCCGACUAAGUCCGACGUGAAAUCCCAAAGCUUAACUUUGGAACUGCGUCGGAUACUGGAUGGCUUGAAUUCGGGAGAGGGAUGCAGAAUUCCAGGUGUAGCGGUGAAAUGCGUAGAUAUCUGGAGGAAUACCGGUGGCGAAGGCGGCAUCCUGGACUGGUCCUGACACUCAUGAGCGAAAGCGUGGGGAGCGAUCCGG